rnacentral:lncRNA from 1 species
CUCAGAAAUGAAGUUGGAUGAGAUGAAGCAGAGCUUUAUCUCAAGAAAAUUACAUAGCUCCUAUAGGCAAAGACCAUCACAUCUGCCUAGGUAUCCAGCAACAGAAUCAGACCAAGGCAGUGGGAGACUGAGGCCACCUCUCUACCACCAGCAGCCUUCCAACAGCAACAUGAAGUUGGCAGCCUUCCUCCUCCUGUGAUCCUCAUCAUCUUCAGCCUAGAGGUACAAGAGCUUCAGGCUGCAGGAGACCGGCUUUUGGAUGAAGAGUUAUCUUAAGGAUCAUCUUUCCCUAAGAUCGUCAUCCCUUCCUGGAGUUCCUAUCUUCCAAGAUGUGACUGUCUGGAGUUCCUUGACUAGGAAGAUGGAUGAAAACAGCAAGCCUGUGGAUGGAGACUACAGGGGAUAUGGGAGGCAGGGAAGAGGGGUUGUUUCUUUUAAUAAAUCAUCAUUGUUAAAAGCACU